rnacentral:rRNA from 1 species
UACGUAGGGUGCAAGCGUUAAUCGGAAUUACUGGGCGUAAAGCGUGCGCAGGCGGUGAUGUAAGACAGAUGUGAAAUCCCCGGGCUUAACCUGGGAACUGCAUUUGUGACUGCAUCGCUGGAGUGCGGCAGAGGGGGAUGGAAUUCCGCGUGUAGCAGUGAAAUGCGUAGAUAUGCGGAGGAACACCGAUGGCGAAGGCAAUCCCCUGGGCCUUCACUGACGCUCAUGCACGAAA